AUUGCUGUUUGAUGCUAGUAUUUUCUUUCAAUAUUGUUGUAGUGCCUAUGUUUAACAGAAUAGGUGUUAGGUUUCACAAGUGACAUUUUGGAAAGAUUUCUUUUGAUGUAAUAUGAAAACUUAAGUAGGCUUCAAUGCCUAAGUAAUAUAGGCUUAUUCACUGUCUUGAUUGAUAAUUCAUUGAAUGUGGAGGUAUUACAAUAUAAAAUCAGUAGUAAAGGUGAAAACAAAUGGAUUAUGAUUAAAAAACAAGCACUAACACAGAGUUCAAAAUUUCAUUGACAUUAACUCCAACAUCCUCAAGAACAAUGUGAAAAGGGUACAUAAAAAACACUAUAUAUAUGAGUCAUAAUAUUUAAUUGAUGUAGGAAUAGGAAGACACUAGAAUCUCAAUCAACAGAAGACUUCGUGUAUGAAAUCCAUAGAGUAUCUUUUAUUGCUUUGUGAGUUUCUCUCAAUUCCAUACAUGUUUCAUACAAGUUAAUGGGUGUUCUGAAUACUUGAUAGAUAACACUAUUUAAAAAUUUUAAAUAUGUUUGUUUCAACCGCUAUUAAGAAAAUUUGGGUUAAGAUUGUUAGCAAAUAUAAGAUGCUGCAACCAAUUAAGUUCAUUAUUGAACUAGGGCAAAAACUAUUUGGGUUAAAUAUCCAAAGGACGUACAAUUGGAUUUACUUACCAAGUUUAUAGUUAGGUUUGUUCUUACUUUUAUAUAGGGGAAACUGGCUGUGAAUUAGGGGUGUGGCUAAAAAAACAUUCCCAUUCAAUGUAUUUGGCCAUCAGUGAACUGAGUCAAAGGAAAUAGACUUUUCUCUUAUCAAAGUUGUGUGAAGGAAAUCAAGAGAAACUCACAGAAAAAUAUAAGCUCUGUUGAUUUCACAGUUGAAGCCUCUUGUUAACCAAUAUUGUGAUGUCAUCUAUACUUACAUCACCCAAACAUCACAUGACCUCUACUUAUAGCAAUUUACCCACUUACAUGUUGUUCCUGAUGAUGUUGGAGUCAACAGAAUGCUGAACCUUGCAUUAGUAGUGGUUUUUCUAACCAUGUUCCAUGUUUGGAUUUUACUAUGAUAUAUUGUCUGUUUGGCUCGUGCACUCAUAUAAAUGUUUCUAGCAGGUUUUUUCCCUACUGAUAUAUUGACCUUAUAUUUUUAUAUUUACAUGUGCACAAAAAUUGUAUUGUUUCCUAAUAAAGCGUGUAUGUGUGCUAUUUACAAUACUGCUUAAAAAAUCAAAAAAGUUAUAAUGGAAAUAUAUAAUGCACUCAUAUAAAUGUUUCUAGCAGGUUUUUUCCUUACUGAUAUAUUGACCUUAUAUUUUUAUAUUUACAUGUGCACAAAAAUUGUAUUGUUUCCUAAUAAAGCGUGUAUGUGUGCUAUUUACAAUACUGCUUAAAAAAUCAAAAAAGUUAUAAUGGAAAUAUUUUUUCUACCAAGGGAAAACAAUUAAAACUUUACAAAGUUGUUGUGUAUUCAAAACCAAUAAUUAGUAAUGUUCCAAAAGCUUUCUUCCUCAAAGCUAAAUAAGUAACCUUGAUAAAUCACUUAAAUGUUUCUGAGUGAUUAAGUAGUUUCAUUUACUAUAGCAUGAAAUAUAAAGCAAAUUAACUAGUUGUGAGUGCUCAUGUUGAUACGUACAAGUUAAAUAUUUUAGCUUUCAUUUAGUUCUGAGAUAAGACAUCAAAGAGUAAUACUGUUGGUUGUUCUUUUUGUAAUUUUGUUAGGUCAUGGAUUAAGGUAAUCCAAGAAAGCUACCCAUCAUACAUCUUCUUAUCGUUAUUAUUUUAGUUUAGAUAGAAGUUAUUGGAUCGUAACAUCAAAAGACAGGAAAAAAAAAGAACCCUACAGGAAUGAUGUUGACACGUAGUACCUUCCAGGUCAUUCAUGUCAUCAGUGAACUACAAUUAACAGUGUCAUAAUGAUAGCUGAUCAGCCUCUAGGCACAAUUUUUUGGUUUGUGCCUGUAUUGGUAUCCCUGAUAUUAUUGCUACUUUUGGGGCUUUGUAUCUGCCUUGGUAAAUCUCAAAAGAAUAUGUCAGUUAGCUUAACACAGUGGGUAUAGACAUUACAUACAUUAGGCUGAACUCAGGGCCAAUUGCAUUAUGAAGUCUGUUUCCAACCGCCUAAACUGAAUGGUAUCCAACUAGAGCUGC